AUUGAACGCUGGCGGCAGGCCUAACACAUGCAAGUCGAACGAGUGGCGGACGGGUGAGUAAUGUCUGGGAACCUGCCCGAUGGAUGGGGAUAACUACUGGAAACAGUAGCUAAUACCGCCUACCAUCGGAUUUGCCCAGGUGUGAUUAGCUAGUAGGUGGGGUAACGGCUCACCUAGGCGACGAUCCCUAGCUGGUCUGAGAGGAUGACCAACCACACUGGAACUGAGAUACGGUCCAGACUACUACGGGAGGCAGCAGUGGGGAAUAUUGCACAAUGGGCGCAAGCCUGAUGCAGCAAUGCCGCGUGUAUGAAGAAGGCCUUCGGGUUGUAAAGGACUUUCAGCGAGGAGGCGUUACUCGCAGAAGAAGCACCGGCUAACUCCGUGCCAGCCGCCGCGGUAAUAC
rnacentral:rRNA from 1 species